UACGGAGGGUGCAAGCGUUAUCCGGAUUCACUGGGUUUAAAGGGUGCGUAGGCGGGUUGGUAAGUCCGUGGUGAAAUCCCCAAGCUUAACUUGGGAACUGCAUCCGAUACUGGAUGGCUUGAAUCCGGGAGAGGGAUGCAGAAUUCCAGGUGUAGCGGUGAAAUGCGUAGAUAUCUGGAGGAAUACCGGUGGCGAAGGCGGCAUCCUGGACCGGCAUUGACGCUGAGGAGCGAAAGCUAGGGGAGCAAACGGG
rnacentral:rRNA from 1 species